rnacentral:rRNA from 1 species
CAUUAACGUACCUCUGACGGCGAGGGUGCGCCCUGCUCCGACCGAAAGGCCGUGCAGCGGGCAAUCCCGAGCCGCUCAACUCACAAACCCACCGUGAACCUUUGUCGGCGGAGGGCCCUCGUGGCCCCGAGCCGGAUCACAAACUCAAAAGUCUUUAAUGCAUAGCGGACUGAGUGCCGCCUAAACUUAAACAACUUUCAACAACGGAUCUCUUGGCUCUCGCAUCGAUGAAGAACGCAGCGAAAUGCGAUAAGUAAUGUGAAUUGCAGAAUUCAGUGAAUCAUCGAAUCUUUGAACGCACCUUGCGCUCCUUGGUAUUCCGAGGAGCAUGCCUGUUUGAGUGUCUUGAAGUCAUCAACCCCUCCGGUUUUGUGCCGGGAGGAAGGUUGGAGUUGGGGGCUUGCGGUCGCGAGGUCGCUCCCCUCAAAUGCUUCGGUUGGGCCUGCGGGUCGAACUCGGUAGGGCGUUGUACCAUCCUCGCUCUUGUGCUGAGAUGUUCCCCUUUGUUGAGCCCUCCCACGACCCCCUCUAGAGUGGCGGUCAAGCUGUUUUUGAAAUCUGACCUCAAAUCAGGUAGGACUACCC